rnacentral:rRNA from 1 species
GCGAAAACUCCUCAAUGCGCGAAAGCGUGAAGGGGGAACUCUGAGUGGUCUCUUUCGGGAGACCUUUUAUGGAGUCUAAUGCGCUUCAUGAAUAAGGAGUGGGUAAGACCAGUGCCAGCCGCCGCGGUAAUACUGGCACUACUAGUGGUAUCCACGCAUAUUGGGUCUAAAGCGCUCGUAGCCGGCCCUCUAAGUCAUUGGUGAAAUCCUUCGGCUCAACCGAAGGAAUUGCCUAUGAUACUAUUGGGCUUGAGAGUGGGGGAGGUCAGAGGUACACUUGGGGUAGGGGUUAAAUCCGUUAAUCCCAGGUGGACCAGCAGUGGCGUGACCUUUCUUUGGGAUGCCAAGAAAGCUCAACCAAAGAAAAGUCCCAUAAAAGGCGUCUGACCAAAACACGUCUGACGGUGAGGAGCGAAGGCUAGGGGAGCAAACGGGAUUAGAUACCCCGGUAGUCCUAGCUGUAAAUGAUGCAGACUUGGUGUUGCAGCGACUUAGAGUCUCUGCAGUGCCGUAGCGUAGAGUUUUCUUUUGGGGUGCCAAAGAAACCUCGUAAAGAAAUACCUUGAGUUUUCUUUUGGGGUGCCAAAGAAACCUCGUAAAGAAAAUGCGUUAGUGUUAAGUCUGCCACCUGGGGAGUACGGCCGCAAGGCUAAAACU